CCAGACUCCUACGGGAGGCAGCAGUCGGGAAUCAUUCACAAUGGGGGAAACCCUGAUGGAGCGACGCCGCGUGGGGGAAGGAGCAUCUCGGUGCGUAAAGCCCUAUCGGCAGGGAAGAAAAAGACGGUACCUGACUAAGAAGCCCCGGCUAACUACGUGCCAGCAGCCGCGGUAAUACGUAGGGGGCAAGCGUUAUCCGGAUUUACUGGGCGUAAAGGGAGCGCAGGCGGCAUGGCAAGUCUGGAGUGAAAGCCCGGGGCCCAACCCCGGGAGUGCAUUGGAAACUGUCAGGCUGGAGUGUAGGAGGGGCAAGCGGAAUUCCUAGUGUAGCGGUGAAAUGCGUAGAUAUUAGGAGGAACACCAGUGGCGAAGGCGGCUUACUGGACGGCUACUGACGCUGAGGCUCGAAAGCGUGGGGAGCAAACAGGAUUAGAUACCCUGGUA
rnacentral:rRNA from 1 species